rnacentral:rRNA from 1 species
AUUGAACGCUGGCGGCAGGCCUAACACAUGCAAGUCGAGCGAGCGGCGGACGGGUGAGUAAUGUCUGGGACACUGCCUGAUGGAGGGGGCUAACUACUGGAAACGGUAGCUAAUACCGCAUCCCAUCAGAUGUGCCCAGAUGGGAUUAGCGAGUAGGUGGUGUAACGGCUCCCCUAGGCGACGAUCCCUCGCUGGUCUGAGCGGAUGACCCGCCACACUGGAACUGAGACACGGGCCAGACUCAUACGGGAGGUAGGAGUGGGGAAGAGUGCACAAUGGGCGCAAGCCUGAUGCAGCCAUGCCGCGUGUGUGAAGAGGGCCGUCGGGUUGGAAAGCACUUUCAGCGGGGAGGCGUGACCCGCAGAAGAAGCACCGGCUAACUCCGUGCCAGCAGCCGCGGUAAUAC